CAAUAAGCGGAGGAAAAGAAACUAACAAGGAUUCCCCUAGUAACUGCGAGUGAAGCGGGAAAAGCUCAAAUUUAAAAUCUGGCGGUCUAUGGCUGUCCGAGUUGUAAUCUAGAGAAGUAAUGCCCGCGCUGGACCGUGUACAAGUCUCCUGGAAUGGAGCGUCAUAGAGGGUGAGAAUCCCGUCUCUGACACGGACUACCAGGGCUUUGUGGUAUGCUCUCAAAGAGUCGAGUUGUUUGGGAAUGCAGCUCUAAAUGGGUGGUAAAUUCCAUCUAAAGCUAAAUAUUGGCGAGAGACCGAUAGCGAACAAGUACCGUGAGGGAAAGAUGAAAAGAACUUUGGAAAGAGAGUUAAACAGUACGUGAAAUUGCUGAAAGGGAAACGCUUGAAGUCAGUCGCGUUAGCUAGGAAUCAGCCUUGCUUUUGCUUGGUGUACUUUCUGGUUGACGGGUCAGCAUCAAUUUUGAGUGCUGGAAAAAGGCCUUGGGAAUGUGGCAGCUUUGGCUGUGUUAUAGCCCUUGGUCACAUACAGCAGUUGGGAUUGAGGAACUCAGCACGCCACAAGGCCGGGUUUCGACCACGUUCGUGCUUAGGAUGCUGGCAUAAUGGCUUUAAGCGACCCGUCUUGAAACACGGACCAAGGAGUCUAACAUGCCUGCGAGUGUUUGGGUGGUAAACCCUUGCGCGUAAUGAAAGUGAAAGUUGAGAUCCCUGUCGUGGGGAGCAUCGACGCCCGGACUUGAACUUUUGUGACGGAUCCGCGGUAGAGCAUGUAUGUUGGGACCCGAAAGAUGGUGAACUAUGCCUGAAUAGGGUGAAGCCAGAGGAAACUCUGGUGGAGGCUCGUAGCGAUUCUGACGUGCAAAUCGAUCGUCAAAUUUGGGUAUAGGGGCGAAAGACUAAUCGAACCAUC
rnacentral:rRNA from 1 species